GCGGGGAUGAGGUGUGGGUAGGGGUGAAAUGCCAAUCGAACACGGAGAUAGCUGGUUCUCUCCGAAAUAGCUUUAGGGCUAGCCUCAAAGGAUGAUGGUUGGAGGUAGAGCACUGAUUGGACUAGGGGCCCUCAUCGGGUUACCGAAUUCAGUCAAACUCCGAAUGCCAAUCAAUCUACUUUGGGAGUCAGACCAUGGGUGAUAAGGUUCAUGGUCGAAAGGGAAACAGCCCAGACCGCCAGCUAAGGUCCCAAAGUGUGUGUUAAGUGGAAAAGGAUGUGGCGUUGCUUAGACAACCAGGAUGUUGGCUUAGAAGCAGCCAUCAUUGAAAGAGUGC
rnacentral:rRNA from 1 species